GAACAGCAAAAUUAAUGGGAGGCAUGUGGUUACAAUAGUUAUCAUUCGCAACCAUGAAUGGGAGCCACUAAGUGGAGGUUCAGAUCUCUGAGAUGGGACUGGAGUGGGGAAAUGACAUGGAAGUAUGUAAUGAAAAGGAAUCCUUCUACAAUAAGAAAAGUGUCAUUUACAUUUUUUCCCCGAUUCUCUGAGGACAUCAGACUUGGAGUGACAAAGAGGCUUGGAGUGAACCAGAAUGAGAGCUUGACAGGAAGAGGAACAUGUGUCCUGUCUACCUAAAGAAACCCCAAACCCAAACGAAAGAAACAGAAAGUUUGUA
rnacentral:lncRNA from 1 species